GACGUAGGGUGCAAGCGUUGUCCGGAUUUAUUGGGCGUAAAGAGCUCGUAGGCGGCUUGUUGCGUCGACUGUGAAAACCCGCGGCUUAACCGCGGGCUUGCAGUUGAUACGGGCAGGCUAGAGUUCGGUAGGGGAGACUGGAAUUCCUGGUGUAGCGGUGAAAUGCGCAGAUAUCGGGAAGAACACCCGUGGCGAAGGCGGCUCUCUGGGACGGUACUGACGCUGAGACGCGAAAGCGUGGGGAGCGAACAGG
rnacentral:rRNA from 1 species